GAAAACCCAAACACAUACACAGAAAACUGUGAUACACAGGAUUUGAAGGAGGCACCCACACUCAGUGAAGCAGCAGACCUGUGCCGAAUGUACUGUCUCAGUGUGAUUUUCCUUCAGCAUUUACCUCUGAUCCAAAGAGCUAAGAGUAGAAUCAUUACUCAUAAAUGGGAUGCAACACUUUCUCCAUUUCUAAGAAUGCUAAAACAAUGUGAAUUUCUCAUCCUAAAACAAUUAAAAGUUACAAAUAAUUGGAGUGUGGAUUUCACCGGCCUCCCUGACUUAACUGAUAAUAUUUUAUGGAAAAAUAUUGCUUAUUAUUAUGAAAUUGAGUAUCACAGAGG